CCUACGGGGAGCAGCAGUGGGGAAUAUUGCGCAAUGGGCGAAAGCCUGACGCAGCGACGCCGCGUGAGGGAUGAAGGUCUUCGGAUCGUAAACCUCUGUCAGCAGGGAAGAACGGUCACUGUGCUAAUCAGCAGUGAAUUGACGGUACCUGCAAAGGAAGCACCGGCUAACUCCGUGCCAGCAGCCGCGGUAAUACGGAGGGUGCGAGCGUUAAUCGGAAUUACUGGGCGUAAAGCGCUCGUAGGCGGUAUGUCAAGUCAGCGGUAAAAUUGAGAGGCUCAACCUCUUCGAGCCGUUGAAACUGGUUUUCUUGAGUGAGUGAGAAGUAUGCGGAAUGCGUGGGGUAGCGGUGAAAUGCAUAGAUAUCACGCAGAACUCCGAUUGCGAAGGCAGCAUACCGGCGCUCAACUGACGCUCAUGCACGAAAGUGUGGGUAUCGAACAGGAUUAGAUACCCCUGUAGUC
rnacentral:rRNA from 1 species